rnacentral:rRNA from 1 species
UACGGGGGGGGCAAGCGUUGUUCGGAAUUACUGGGCGUAAAGGGCGCGUAGGCGGCCUUCUAAGUCGGACGUGAAAUCCCUCGGCUUAACCGAGGAACUGCGUCCGAUACUGAAAGGCUUGAAUCCGGGAGAGGGAUGUGGAAUUCCAGGUGUAGCGGUGAAAUGUGUAGAGAUCGGGAGGAACACCGGUGGCGAAGGCGGGUCUCUGGGCAUCUCCUGACGCUGAGGCGCGAAAGCGUGGGGAGCAAACGGG